GUGAUUCUGUUUGGCUUCUUCCUCUUGAUGCAGGCACAAACCUGUGUGACAUGAUGUUCCACCUCCUGUCUCAUUUUUGGCCAGAAGAAACGUCCUCGAGCCAGAGCAACCAUCCGGUCAGCACCUAAGUGUCCCAUCUCCUCAUGGAGGUACUUGUACACCAGGGGCUUCAUUGGCUCUGGCACCACCAGUUGUGUCCUGUUUGUUUUUCUCCACAAGAGCCCAUCCGCAUCCAGCUCCAGCCUUGGCCACUCCCUGAGAAGAGCGCGAACCUGCUUAUUUUCAGCUGCUUUAUCUCUGUACUUCAGGUAAGUAUGGUUCCUUUUCAGGUUGAUGACUCUCUGGAUUAUUGGGUCUGCCUGCUGCUGGACCAGGAUGUCUUGGAUGGUGAAAGGCUGGAUUGGUGAUACAACACUGCCAUCUUGUGAUAAAACAUCCACAUUGCAGUACACUCUUCCAUGAUGGUUUCCAUGGGUGUGGGCCUACGGGACAGGAAGUCAGCGUCCCCGUUAGCUGUCCCAGCUGGAGAGAGGGUUCUGGAUCCGUAGCCGAUUACUCUCAGAAUACCACCCUGGCGCUGGUACAGCACAGCUCCGAGUCCUUCUUCAGAGGCGUCAACAUGAAGGAUGAAAGGUCGCUCGAGGUCAGGAUACGCCAUGACAGGUGGAUUAGUGAGCUUAUUCACAAAGGUCUCCAAAAUGGCUUUGUGUGCAUCUGUCCACUGUACAGGUGAGGAGGGCGAGAGCUGGUAGCUGGCACGCUUCAUCACCUUCUUGUGGUGGUGCUUUGGCUCACAUUUUGGCUUUGCCAGCAGCUCAUACAGUGGCUUCGCAGUCCUGGAGAAGUCCUGGAUGUAAGCUCUGUAGUAGCUCAGGAAUCCAAGGAGCUUUCUCACCUCCUUCACUGUAGCUGGGGUCUGGUGUGCGAGCGCCUUUACUGCCUCCACCUCCUUUGGGUUCAUCCUGUAUCCUUCUGCAGAGAUGACACGACCAACAUAGGUUACUUGUGGCUUGAAAAAUUCACAUUUACCUGCUCUGAGCUUGAUUCCACAGGCUUUCUGUCGUUGCAGGACUUGUCUGACAUUGUGCACAUGUUGGUCAAAUGUGCGGCUGAACACAAGGACAUCAUCCAGGUAGGGCACACAGACUUCGUCCCUCAGAUCUCCCAGGCAUCCCUCCAUAUGGCGUUGAAAAGCAGCCGGGGCAUUUGACAGUCCAAAUGGGAUUCGGAGCCACU